ensembl:lncRNA
GCCCAAAGUGAAGAAUUUGGUUCUGCUGCUGAGUAACCACGAAGGGUUGGCCAGUCCCAAUGAUGCGCAGCCCGGCUUGAGCACCCUGAGCCCGGCUGCUGGGGGGCUGAGCCCCAAAGCCCUCAGCCAGGUGCUGCUGCUGGGCCCCAAAAGUGACCCAGGCAGAAACCUGAGCCUGGCUCCACGAGUGUCCCCAUGAUGGGCUCACUCCUACUGCUGGUGACCACAGCCCAGUGAGAGCACGGCCAGGUCUGGCCUCGUCUCUGCGAUGCCAUAAAUAAUGCACGAGCCUCUGCGCACAGACCCAGGGAAAACACGUGAGCUCGCAGCCUUCUGACGUGGGAGAAAACAAGUUUAGAGGUUGCAGGUACUUUUUCUCCUCGUACCCACUGGAAAGUAGAAGUUGGUGAAGCCAAAGGAACACAUCCAAGGGCGGAUGGUUGUGCCACCAGCCCUGAGUUUCUGCAGCAAAAGGAUUUGGGCUCAUCUCCAGUCGGAUCAGAAAGCAGUCCCAUCUGACCUUGACCAACCACAGAAAACUAAGCCAGCUGAGAUAGCCAGGAAGAGAUCUCUGGUGAUGGAGAGCAGAAAUCUAUGGAGAGCCGCAGAAGAACGGGUUGGCUAUUUGGAAAGAAAAGGAAUUGUGUAGAAAACAAAAUAUUUUUGGGGAAGGAUAGACCACAACUGGGAAAAAAACAAACAAACUCUGCAAUACUGCCGUGUGAAUAGGAGAAUGAGGAGAAGAGGAGGAGAACCCGGAGCGGCCAUGGGGCACAGCAGGGAGGAGUGAGCUGUGCCCGGGUGCUGCACACGUGCACCACAGUCAGUGCCUGUCCCAUGGGGGAGCUCAGGGCUGCUCCUGACCACAUGAAGGGCUCUGGGUUGGGCGUACCCGGGACUGUUCUGAGAUGCUGUAGUGGUCCAUCGCCACCCUGCCUUUCUGCACUAGGCACAGGCCCCUUCCUUAAGGCUGCUCAGACAAAAUCCUUGCUCCCAACGCCUCCAAUACCUGGCCCCAUAGCCAACAUCCUCCUCCGGCUUACCACACUCCCUUCUGCUCAUCAGACAACCUCAAGGACAGGGCAUUCUUAGCUACCCAGGCACCUACCCAAGUUCCCCUUGCAGCGUCUGACCCCAAACUUGGCAAAACCAAUACAGAUAUUACAGAAGGUUCGUUGCACGCCCAUAGCAGCGCACUGCAGGCAGCCACGGCUUGCCCUGCUUGAGCAGAUCAAAGCCACGUCAAGCCCAAUGCAAUAAGCACUGCUGAACAGCAAGAGACGUGAAGCCGGCCUUGGUGCUAUGCAGUGUGGUCACACGGCUUCCAGAUGUGGACAGCCCGAGCUCCUGCCUGCCCUGAGCCACCCUGUAGCCGGGGGCUGCCUGUAGACUGAAAGGCAGAGUGCAGAAAUAAAGCUGCUCUCCACCUCUUUCUGGUUAAAUCGCUCUGCAGCUUGCAGAGCUCCACCAAGGACAAUUAUUUCCAGCAUGUGCCGUGCGUGAAUGCUGCAAGCAAGGCAGAGCUGGAGUUUCAUCAUAGCCCGGCUUUGUGCGCAGAGCAGAGAAGGAGGGGAAAAAAAAUCAAAAAGGAACUUGGAACUGAUGGCCCCCCAGCCUCACCCUGAUCCCGAGGAGGCUCCGCUCUGCUCUUGCUCAACCCGACAUCGAGAAUGAGGAAGUGGAGGAGACAGGCGGGGGAGGCGGAGGAACGGUCAAACUGAAGACAAACAGCCCCCGAGCUGCAGGGCUGGGAAAAAGCUCCAUGAGCAAGAGGGCACGGGAGCAAAGAGCACCCUGCAUCCAUGCUGAACCCCGUCCCCAUGCGGCGGUCCCCGAGGUUUGGGUAACCAGAGUUCAGGUCUCCCAGGAGCCGGUUUCCAGCACCCAGACCUGCAACCCCUGCAGCACAUGGGGAUGGCACAGCCUGGCCGUGGUAGGGCCGUGCCGAGCCGUGCUGAGCCAGCCCCAGCCGGCCCGCUGCCUGCCUUGCUCAGCAACAGCCAGCUUUCAGCACAGCCCGCAGCUCGCUCGCUCGCCUCCGUGCUCCUGAAUACCAGGAACCACACCACCACGUUGGCUGCAAACAGGAGUUGGCAUAAAAAAUUAAAACCCAGGCAGGCGCGAGGUGCUGCAGGUGGCUGCUGCAGCCUGGGGCCCUCGUUGGUCCCUGUGCCCCUGGUCCCACCACCUCUGUCACCAUCCCCAUCCAUGCAGGCACUCUGCAAUUCAUCCUGCCCCAGGGGAGGAAGAAGCACAGGUGAAGCAGCCCUAAGCUGCAUGGUCCAAGGAUGGUGGGGCAGCACCCAGCGGGGUGCUUUCUGCUGCUUUGUCCUUCCACUCGCUAGGGCAGCCAGGAGUUGCCCUGACCUUAUCCCUCUUACAGCAAAAACAACAUAGCAGAGACAUUAAGGGUGUGUGGGAGAUCCCUAAAGGGGUUCCCAGUACUGCAGCUGAGGAGAAGAUCAGGACCUGUGGCCCGUAAGGUAAACCCCACAAACAUUUUCUAUUCUCUUCAGGACAAGCAGGGAACCGAGGCACCAGCAUGGGUAAGUGGGAGGGAAAUGAAGGGCUCCUGGCCCACCCAGCUUAGGGCAGCAAAGAUAGCAAGAGCCAUUGCUGGAGCUGCUAAAACUUAUCCCAGAGAUUUAAUGUUUCUCAGGGAAAGCGGCAAAUCCCAUGGGAAGGAGCACCGCAUGAGGACCAAGGAAGGGAACUAAACCCAGACAGGGAGCAGACGGAGUGCAAACCCAGCAAAGCCCUGGGGAAAGGAAAGCCAGCAAAGCUUUGAGAACAAGAGGUUUCUUUCCCUUUCAUCCCGCUGUGAUAGUUGGGGUGAGGGAGCCGACACCCAGUGCCAGGAGCAGAGCCUGAUGGAGGAGCUCAUGGGAAGGCAGCAGAGCAGCAGGACCUGCGUGAUCGCCCACAGCAAGCAGCAGUUCCAGCAAGCGUACACCCAGCCUGCAUCUCAGAAGCAUUCUGCAUCCAGAGCAUCCCUGAAAGGGAGAGCUCAUUGCCAAAACCCAGGAGCUCCGCCUGCCCAGGGUUUGCAUUUUCAUUUUGGCUGGGAAACUGGAAAAAUACAGACCUGAGAAGGCAAUUCCCCCAGCCCAUCACUGAUCUCUGACCCUGCAGUGCUGGGCUGGCACUGGGAGUCUCUUGGUUUCUGCAGUGCUGGGGGGUGGCAUGGCAGCUUUCACAAAUGGGGCCGAGGGAAUUGCGAAGUGCCAGGACAGGGACUGGGUGUGCCUGAAUGGUACCCUUUGUCCACACCUCUGAGUUACCCAAAACCAGGGAACCUGUCCCUGCCUUUCCCUGCAGCCCCAUCCCCAGGACCCGGCCAGGAGCCCCUCUUAGCAACAGCCCUGGAUUGAAAGAAAAUAAAUGCAAUUCUGCUGAGAGGGGAGGAAAAAAAAAUAAAGGCAUAAAGGAUGUGCCUCUCCAGCUCCUCCUCCCCUCCCAGAAACCUGUGUGCUAUGCAAAUAUAUGCAAAUACAGCACCGAAAGGGGGAUGAAACUGGCUCUCUAUACCAGCAUGGUUUGAGACUGGGAAGGAUUGGAAGCAGCUUGUUGGAAACUUGGGGAAGAAAUAGCUACAGGAUGAGAGGGACAAGCAAUGAGGGCUGCAGGGCGCACAUCCCCAAACCCAUCCGGCACAGCAGCACGCAGCCCCAGCCCUCCUUCUCAGCAUCCCAUUGGUGCAGGUGACACGGAAACACUUGCAAAACCCCUUUUCCCUCCGCAAAAGGAGAGGAAAAAAAAAAAAAAAAGCCCCAAACUUGCUUUGCUGCUGUUUACAAUUCCCACCUGAGAAGAGACAGCGCCGCAUGUUUGCUGCCAUGGCGUUGUGCCCCAAGCAGGGACAGCAGCUGCGGACGGAGCCGGGUCGUGCUCUGCGAGGCGGGCGCUUCCCCCAGGUACUGCCGGAGUGACACCUAUCUUACAUGAGGAAUGGGCUCGUAUGAAUUCCAGCUCAUUUGUUCCAGGCAAUUUAUCCGGCCCAGCGUUGCCUUGUUUGACUCCCUACAAUGAAGAUCAACAGCUUCAAGAGAAGUUCUUGUGACUGGGCAGGACACAACAGUCUCCUGACAUCAACGUGCAGUAAGCAACCAAUGCUGAUGCAAAUCCCAUCUGCUGUAAUCAUGACAUCACCCCUAAUUAUAUAAUGAAUGAGGAUCUCACCACCUGCAGAGUCCUGACGUCACCAGCAGAGCUGGAGAAAGGUCCAGAGCAGGAUGAUCAAACAGUGAGUCCGUAGGAGGAGGACCUCAGCCUGGAAACCAAGCAGCUAGAGAGGCACAUCUGGCCUCAAAAAGGUGAACCAAGUUUGAUUGCUCACUACGUCUCCCAAUAAAAGAAUUAGGAGAUACCCAAUGACAUUAAGAGGCAGCAGAUUCAAAAGGAGCAAGAGAAAAUGGCUCUUCACAUGCUAUGUGGUUAAACAGUGGAAGUCCUCACCACAGCUCUCAGGGGACGAUUAAAGCUUCUGCAUUUACAAAAAAAAUCAACCAGACAAAUUUCAUGGGGAAUCCAGGGAGGGGUAUUAAAGGCAAAAUGCUGCCUGGUUGGGGAAGUCCCUGAGCUGCCACGUGCUUGGGGCUGGGAGCGUGCACAAGAGGCACAGCCCUGCCCGGAUCUGCGGUGGGGACAUCCUCUACCAUUCCUUGCAUGGAAUGGAGACAGCAGGUGACAUCUCCAAGCCAGACCCUACAAUCCCAGCAGCCUGCUGUGUCUCCAAGCCCCACCUCGGGAGGUGCCAAACCCAUGCGAGUUGCAAAGUCCAUAAGCAGUGGGACCACUCAGUGCUGUCAGUGUGCUGCUCCCAGGACCCUGGCAGGAGCCAGGCUGGGUGCACAGCUCCAGUCCUCGGGACAGCGGCUGCAUGCGUCCCCGCGAGCAGCAUCCCUCACACAGGCAGGCGCACAGAGUCCAUGCACGUAGCAAUCCCAAUUAAACCCAACUACAUCGCAAAGGGCCCUGGCAGUGCUGCAUUUAUCAGGCUGCCUGGAAGGGGCUUGUGCAAGCUGUCCCCCCGGCUGAUGGAUUAGACAGCAGACAAUUAGGUUUCAGACACACACACACACACACACACACACGCAAGCACACGCACGCACACAAAUCCUUUUCUCCAUCCAUCUGCAAGGCCAAGGCGGCUGAGCACAGCUGUGCGGCUGUCCAGUGCUUCUGAAGCUGCGUGCAGCUGAAUAAGAAAAAGCCCCCGCGCCUCGGCUUUCAGCGGCUGCUUGCAAAAUGAGCGAGAGGUCCCCAAAGAGAUGACACAAUUGCAAUGGAAAUGAUUAACCCUUCGCAGGUUGGUUUUGUUGCUCCGUACCGCGGCAGCCAAGCCUGGCCACGAACUCCCACUCGUUGGGUUUCAAGGACAAAGCCACAGCAACUCAGUGCUCAGCCAGCUAAACUGUGGCGGGGACGAGCAUGCUCCCGCGUCCGUGUUUCAUGGCAGCAAUCUGGGAUUUUGGGGAUCAUUUUAGACAUCUCCCUGCCAGGGUAUUCCCAGCUCCUCUAAGCAGGGAUGCUCUCUCCACACACGCAUCGCUUCUGCAAACAUCCCACCUAAAGCAUCCCCUCCUGGUGCCUGAGAGCAGACACCACAGUUGCUACACCCGGAUCCCAGCCAGCUUCGCUCCUCUGAUUGCCCCUUUCGAGGGCUGCUCGGAACAAUAAUUCAAUACCAGAAAAAAUUAAUUGCGACAUUAAAUGGCUGCGAUGGAAAAGGAACAAACUGGGGGGGCUUCUGAAAGGCGAAGCGUGCACGCCUGCUCCGGGAGAUCUCCGAUGGAAUCAACAAAACAAUGGAUAUAAGGAAAAAAAAUCAGUAGAUAUAAUUUGUUAGGAUUGCCCUAAAGCCUGUGAUAAAAUCCCACAUGCUACUGAGGAAGCCAGGAAUUACUGGGCAACACGUAAAAUGCUGCCAGGAGCAGGAAGCAGCAAAGUGCCAGCAUGCAGCAGCACAGGGGCAAUGCCCCUCUCUGUGGGCAGGACAGGAAAGCUAGAGGUGUGACCUUGCUCCACAUGCAGCUUCCCACAGACAGGGGUCUGCCUGUCGUGCCAUGCAAGCAGGGAUGAGAGGGCAGUCAGCAGCUCCAUCCCUCCAUCACUCACAUGUACUUGAGUUUGAUAAGCCGAACGUGACACCAAGACUGCGUCAGUCCUUGGCCUCAGCCCUUGCACUCACAACCCUUGAUCUCUCCUUCCAAGCCAUCUUUCAGCUGUAUGUCUGGAAAGAGCCCAAGGAGAGAAGCCUCCCAUCUUACAUUUGGUGUGGGACACACGGGGGGAGAGGAUCCUCGCCAAUGAUGCUCAGCUUCCUGGAAACUACACCACGGUCUCAUUUUUCUUGCCAUUUUUGAAGAUCGCAUCACAAGAUCCCAUCCCAGUGCGUGUGAUCUUGCAGAGCCAACUCCAAGAUGACAAACACUCAGGUAGAAACGGCCACAUAGGCAACUCAGCCCAUUCCUCAAAUCAAUGAGAAUUUUUUUGAGGUUUCCUUUCGCUAAAUAUAGAUGUAAGCCCUAGCAUUACAAGAUAUAUCAUCCACUAUGGUAAGAAGAAACUCUCCAGAUGCAUCAGAGAACGUCUACAUGUUUGCCAAGGAAGAUUGCUGCGCUCUCCAAGCUCUGUUUAUUAUUAGUAGCAUAAGACUGGACACAAGGAUGGCUCUGACCUCCCAGAGGUCAUGUGCCUUGCACAUGAAUUUAGGACUGAGUGGAGGCUGCAGCAUUCAUCAUCUGCGAGCAGCCAGUUCCACCCCAUGUGUGAGCUCCUCCAUCUCUAAAGCCAUUGCAUUUCUCACCUGUUCCAAUGGGUCCACCCCAGAGCAUCAUCCCUCCCCUCCCUCAGCUCCACUGUUCUCCCCCUAAGCAUAUUCACGGGCAGUUUAAAGUCAUUUGAUUGCAUGCCAACAAUAUCUGCCAGUGGAACAGCUCAUCUCCCACCCCAGUGCUCCAUUUCCCAUGGUCUAUCUGCUUUGCAAAGCGGAGUUUGAAGAGUCUCAGGAGAUGGGCCAUUCACUGCACCUCCUUGGGGACUCAGCCAUCAUAUCUUGUAUCAAUCCAUAAACCACCCCUUCAGAUUUAUCAAGGUCCUAUAGUUUUCCUUCUGCAGCCCUAAGCAUGGUAUCAGAGAGAAUUUCCUGUUAACUACGCAACACUUUCCUCUCCUUGUUUUAUCCCAUUAUCCAUCGUUACAUCUCCUGGACCACUCUAAAUAAUUACUCAGCUGUGUGUUUAUGACCUUCAGAUAUUUGUCCAUCCUUGGUUUAAGUGAACUCUUAUUCAAGCCACCCUUAACAUUUAGACUGCACAGAGAAAUGCUUAUGUACAGAGACCUUCCAGGAUGGGGAAGAGAGAAAGUAGCAGCUUCCCAGGCUCUGUUGCACAGGCUGGGAAACUGAGGCAUAAGGAGACAGCCACAGAUUGAUC